rnacentral:lncRNA from 1 species
AUUUUCUAAUCAUAGUACUUUUAAAUCUUUGCUAAUAUAGAACUUAAAUUUAUAUUUUCUUAUACAGAUAAAGAAAAGACAUCCACCAUUCAAAAAUAAGCUCAAGCAUACUCUUGCUGAUGACCCAGCUCCUGUUUGAUCCUGUUGACAAGAGUUCAGAAGCUGUAAAGAAAACUUAUUCCCCACACUGGACAUAACCUGGAAACCUGGUUUCAAUAUUUCCAUUAAUCAACAACCAUUUUUAGGUAUCACACAAGCAAAUACAUUAUUCUGAAGGAACCAUCACCAUCAGUCAUGAAAGACCUUCCCC